AAUUAAAAUCACGCUUUACCUAAAUAACGGAAAUGAUGAGAAGGGGAAAGAGGAGUUGCGGUGGUGCCGACUGUUACGGUGGUGCUGACGGUUGAGAGCAGUUAUUAAGCGGUGGCAGUAGAUGGUCAUUGGUCAAGCAGUGGAAAUCGGAGGACCUUUAAGUUGGUUUUUCUGAUUGAAGGUUGAUUACACGUAAUUUUGCACAUCUUUUGAUUGGCGUCAUACGGUGGUUGUUAUGGUGGUCGCAGUCGUAAUUUCGAAGGCGAACAUCUUCUUAUCCCCUUGCUGGUCACAUGUAAUUUAGGGCAUCUUCAAUUGGCGUCAGACGGUGGUUGUUGUGGUGGCUACGGUUUCGGAAAUCGGAGGCGCAAAUUUGAAGUCGAAUAUCUUCGUAUUCCCUGUGCGGAGUGCCCCACCUAGUGUUUUGGGCUAGAAGGAGGCCUCCUUCGCCGCCAUCCGGCCGGUUCGUGACACAUGCACGAACCUGGUGGCUGGAAUGGUAUGGAAGUCAUUAUUAGAAAACUGAAAACUGUAAGUUCAUACAAUUUCGGCAAGAUAACCGGAAUUUUAAUGGAGAAUUCCAAGGUAACCCGGAUUUUGAUGACUUGCAUAAGUUUUGGACAGUACCUCACACCAUUUGGUAACUUGAUGAUUCUUAUAACAGUCUUACUGCCUUACUGGCAUUAUAUUGUCGGAGUCGUAUUUAUUCUUUAUUUUUCAAGCUAUUGCUAUUAAUCUUUGUUAGUUUAAUUAGCAAUUCAAGUAACCAUUUUAGUCAUAGGUUUGAAUUCUUCAUUUAUUUGUUUGUUUUAUAUCUUUUCUAUAUGAUCUCCUACUCAUCCUUCUGAAUGUCUUGGUUGAAAAAGAAUAACAGGAAUUCAGGCUAUAUUUCUGAUGUUGUCUGUGGCCAAAUUGAAUGCAGAAUGCAGUUGUUGGAAUGAAAUGAUAGUAGCUAGAUUGUUUGAAUUGGUGUGGGGUUGGAGGCUGGUUGAGAUUUCUGGUCGGGUUCGGGUUGGUUUUCGAGUCUGGUCGAUUUUUGACAGGUCUAACUGUCACUUAUAAGUUAUAACAGACUGUAUGUUGUUGAAAUUUCGGACUCCAAGAGGUAGUAAUGAAUUUUCUGAAUAUUGUGACUAUUGCAAAAUGUACUUGAUUUAAGCAUUGGUUAGAGUAUUGUAUUGGAAGGAUUUAUACUAAUGAAUUUGAAA